GGAUGUGAGGGUGAUCUGGCUAUGACAUCUGUCACUACAUUGAUUGCCAUGGUUGAUUUGGCUGAUCUGGCUGGCAGGGGCAGAUGUCCCCUUUCCCCUUCACCACCCCAUGCACCUCCCCUCUGAAGCUGCUGCACACUUGGUCAAAGAGGAUGACCUUCCUCAAUAGAGAAAGACUGUGUUCUUCAGUCAGGGGUAUAUGAGUAGCUGAGCUCCCUGCUGGAACCUCCAAACAAGAUCUCAAGGUUCAUUUGUAGGAGAACAUAAGGUAGUCAAUCUUCCAAGACUCCAGACACAACCAAAUGAGGUGCUGCAUGGGCAGUCUGCCUAUU
rnacentral:snRNA from 1 species